GCCUACGGGGCGCAGCAGUAGGGAAUCUUCCACAAUGGGGGAAACCCUGAUGCAGCGACGCCGCGUGGGUGAAGAAGCGCCUCGGCGCGUAAAGCCCUGUCAGCAGGGAAGAAAAUGACGGUACCUGAAGAAGAAGCCCCGGCUAACUACGUGCCAGCAGCCGCGGUAAUACGUAGGGAGCAAGCGUUAUCCGGAAUUAUUGGGUGUAAAGGGUGCGUAGACGGGACAACAAGUUGGUUGUGAAACCCCUCGGCUCAACUGAGGAACUGCAACCAAAACUAUUAUUCUUGAGUGCAGGAGAGGAA
rnacentral:rRNA from 1 species